GACGAACGCUGGCGGCGUGCUUAACACAUGCAAGUCGAGCGGAAAGGCCCUUUCGGGGGUACUCGAGCGGCGAACGGGUGAGUAACACGUGAGUAAUCUGCCAUUCACUUGGGGAUAACUACCGGAAACGGUGGCUAAUACCCGAUAUGACCAAUCACUGCAUGGUGUGUUGGUGGAAAGUUUUUUCGGUGGAGGAUGUGCUCGCGGCCUAUCAGCUUGUUGGUGGGGUAAUGGCCUACCAAGGCUUCGACGGGUAGCCGGCCUGAGAGGGUGACCGGCCACACUGGGACGGAGACACGGCCCAGGCUCCUACGGGAGGCAGCAGUGGGGAAUAUUGGACAAUGGGCGAAAGCCUGAUCCAGCAACGCCGCGUGAGGGAUGACGGCCUUCGGGUUGUAAACCUCUUUCAGCGGGGACGAAGCGCCGGUAAUGGUGGUGACGGUACCCGCAGAAGAAGCACCGGCCAACUACGUGCCAGCCGCCGCGGUAA
rnacentral:rRNA from 1 species